rnacentral:lncRNA from 1 species
GAAUGGGGUGGGAUUUGACAGGCUGGGUAAAGAUGAAAGGACAGGAAUAUUGAGUAAUUACUCAAUACUCUCAAAUGUUUGUCAGACUGUGGUCUUAUCUGGACACUUACUUGUGGAAAGCAGUGGUUGAUUUUGGAGUAGGCAGUUAGAAGGCUCCAUGGCUUCUUUUUUUAAAAUAUUUUUAUGUGCAUUGGUGUUUUUGCUUUCAUAUAUGUCUGUGUGAGGGUAUUGGAUCCCCUGGAACUGGAGUCACAGACAGUUGUGAGCUGCCAUGUGAAUGCUGGGAAUUGAACCCUGGUCCUCUGGAAGAGCGAUGCUCAUUUACCAAAUUGGAGAUGUCCCCUGCUAUUCUUUCUCUGAGAGCUGUUGACCAUGAGAAUGGACUUUGUACAAACUCUGUUUUAGUAGAUGUGGCAGUCAUCUCUCCUCCCCCAUGGUUGCUCCAUUUUCAUCCCCAUCAGCAGUGUCUAUGGAAGAGUUCCAGCUUCCACAAGCUCACCAACACCAGGUGAGUUUGGAUAUUUUGGACCAGCAAGAUGGACCAGUGAGUAAAGGUACUUGCUGCCAAGCCUGAGGACCUGAGUUUGAUUCCCCAGGAACCAUACAGUGGAAGGAGAGAAUUGAUUCCCACAAACUGUCCUCUGACCUCCACAUGGACACUGUGAUACAUGAUGUCCACACACAAUAAAAUAUGAAAAAGGUCUAGCAUCUUCCUAUUUGAGUGUGAUUUUAUACCACCCAGCAGUGGCUGACAUCAUGGCAUCUUUCCUGCAUAUCUUUCUCUAAAAUGCCUGAAGUGUGGUCCUCAUAACCACACUAAGUACUGCCUGUGUCUGGUCCACCCACAGUUCUUCUCAGCCUUCCUUCUUUAACUCCAG